GUAGGCUACGGCUUGCCUUGCAGAGCCGGACAAGGGAAAUAACGGUAGAGGUGGAGAGAGACCAACGACCGGGGGGGGGGAUCGUCCGACGACAAUCAUAGUAGUUUUCUAGCGCUUGUUAAGGGACUUCUACGCAUUUAACGGGCAAUUGAAAAGGGGGAACUAUCCUAGCGUCGAGAAAGUCUCUCUAUAGCGGUGGAUGGUUGCAGGAAGCGGGCUACAAUCUAGGCAGCUCAAACAAUCAAUAUGGUUUUCUCUGUGUUGGAGACGACUUAUCAGCAUGACAGUCUGAUGUACCUGCUGGACUACUUACUCCCUGCCAAGCAUCUUCUAUACAAACUACAGCAGCAUGCCUGUCCCUUCUGUUGAAGAAGAGAGAGGUCUUACAGUGAUAGUGGACAGCAGACAGUCUCCCCCCUCUACUCUCUGCCUCGCUGCACUGAAACAAUUCCGGGCUGUAAUCCCGGGAGGUCUUGGCUCGGUCCUCAUUCUGGUGAAAGAGCAGCAGCAGGUGUCUCCCCACAGUCUAGAGGACGUAGAAACUGUUCCCCUGAGUGUGGAUAAACACAGAGAGCUGAUGACGAGCGUCCUGGUCAACCAACAGCUAACUGAGCUGCAGCUGAAGGGCGGGGCCUGGCUGGCAGGACUGACCACAUCAGGACUGGCAAAGAGAUCCCCGGACUGCAGGGAUGCCUUGGCUGUGACCUCAAACCUCUAUGAUAGUGUGGACAACGCCCUCCACCGCCUCAUCCAGAUGUCCAAUCACAGAGUCAGCGCCCUGGAAGCCCUCGGUCGAUUGGCUGCCAUGGUGGACAAACUGGAAAAGCAAGCUCUAUCUAUUAUGGUGUAGGAUGCUGUGUUCAGGGAGGCAGUACGUGGCCGUGUUAAAGGGUGUGGAGGAGACCUACCUGCCCCUCUUGGAGGGUCCAGACACCCCGUCCUCCCUCCGGGGGAAAGCAGGCCUCCUUUUCCACAACUUGGCCAGCUUCAGCACCUUCCACUCGCAGUACCUCCUCCCAACCAUGGAGGGAGCUCUACUGCAGAGUCUGCUGAAACAGGACCUCUUCAGUAAACAUAGAGAGGAGUUUCUCCAGUACUCUCACUACAUAUAGUGAGGACCAAACCAGAAGUGGACUCCUUGUUGGUCACUUAGGCUAGACUUCUUCAAGCUCAGACUCCCUGCCACCCCUCCUCUCUCCCUCCUGUCCUUCCCCCACUGUCUCCAGGCCCCUACACAGACUGGAACAGUACUGUGAUGUUCUAGAGGAGCUGGGAAGGUUAAACCCCGCCUCUGACUCCUUCCUCUCCGUCCUCAGACACGCCCAGCGCCACGGUGAGGACCUCCGGGCCAGCGACCUCAUCGUCAGGUGUCCGGUCCCGGUGGCGGAGCGUGGAGAUCUGGUGCGUCAGGUGUGUGGGAGGACCAGGAGGAAGAAUACCGGGGUGUGUUCCUCUAUCAACCCCUCAUCAUCUUCACCAAGCAGAAGAGCCCGGGACACACCGCCUACAGCUUCAAUCACAGCAUCAAGUGUCAGAGUGGAGAGGAGAGGGCAGCCUGGACACACGAUAUCGCUCAGCUCCUUUGGACCCACACCAUACACAAUACAGGUGGGACGGUAGUGUCCCAUACCCCCAGAGAGGUUUUAAGGCAGCAGACAAAAUUCCUUUGUCCUCACACUAUGGAGAACCGGCCUCAGAACAUUAACAUGCAAUAAAUGGACUUUGGGACAAUAGGUUUCGUCAGCCACAAUGGUGCUAAUGACGAUAGAUGUAAUAUGAAAAUGAAUGUCGUUUUGUUAUGUUAUUAAAAGUUAAAGGACGACGUUAUAACAAAAACAUUGUAACUUUAAGAGUUGUCCUAAUAUGUGCCUGAUGUUUGCAUAUUGUACAUUGUGUGGAAAAUGUCCAGAUCAAAGAGAAUGUUUUUGUAAAGAUGAAAUGUGAAGUUAGUUGACUAAAUUGGAACUGAGUAAAA
rnacentral:lncRNA from 1 species